CCUACGGGAGGCAGCAGUGAGGAAUAUUGGUCAAUGGACGAGAGUCUGAUCCAGCCAAGUAGCGUGAAGGAUGACUGCCCUAUGGGUUGUAAACUUCUUUUAUAUGGGAAUAAAUUGUUCCACGUGUGGGCUUUUGUAUGUACCAUAUGAAUAAGGAUCGGCUAACUCCGUGCCAGCAGCCGCGGUAAUACGGAGGGUCCGAGCGUUAUCCGGAUUGAUUUGGUGUAAAGGGAGCGUAGGUGGAUUGUUAAGUCAGUUGUGAAAGUUUGGGGAUCAACCGUAAAAUUGCAGUUGAUACUGGUAGGCUAGAGUACAGUAGAGGGGGGCGGAAUUCGAGGUGUAGCGGUGAAAUGCUUAGAGAUGACGAAGAACUCCGAUGGCGAAGGCAGCUCACUGGACUGCAACUGACGCUGAGGCGCGAAAGUGUGGGGAUCAAACAGGAUUAGAUACCCUUGUAGUC
rnacentral:rRNA from 1 species